AGUUUGAUCAUGGCUCAGAACGAACGCUGGCGGCAGGCUUAACACAUGCAAGUCGAACGAUAUAGUGGCAGACGGGUGAGUAACGCGUGGGAACGUACCUUUCACUACGGAAUAGCUCUUGGAAACGAGUGGUAAUACCGUAUACGCCCUUCGGGGGAAAGAUUUAUCGGUGAAAGAUCGGCCCGCGUUAGAUUAGCUAGUUGGUAGGGUAAUGGCCUACCAAGGCGACGAUCUAUAGCUGGUCUGAGAGGAUGAUCAGCCACACUGGGACUGAGACACGGCCCAGACUCCUACGGGAGGCAGCAGUGGGGAAUCUUGCACAAUGGGCGAAAGCCUGAUGCAGCCAUGCCGCGUGAAUGAUGAAGGCCUUAGGGUUGUAAAAUUCUUUCGCUAGGGAUGAUAAUGACAGUACCUAGUAAAGAAGCCCCGGCUAACUUCGUGCCAGCAGCCGCGGUAAUAC
rnacentral:rRNA from 1 species